UACGUAGGGGGCAAGCGUUGUUCGGAAUUACUGGGCGUAAAGGGCGCGUAGGCGGCACGGCAAGUCGGGAGUGAAAGGCCUGGGCUCAACCGAGGAACUGCUUUCGAGACUGCCGAGCUAGAGUGCGGAAGGGGCAACUGGAAUUCCCAGUGUAGCGGUGAAAUGCGUAGAUAUUGGGAAGAACACCGGAGGCGAAGGCGGGUUGCUGGGCCGACACUGAGACACGAAGGCCAGGGGAGCAAACGGG
rnacentral:rRNA from 1 species